AUUGAACGCUGGCGGCAUGCCUAACACAUGCCAGUCGAGCGGAUGAAGGGAGCUUGCUCCUGGAUUCAGCGGCGGACGGGUGAGUAAUGCCUAUGAAUCUGCCUGGUAGUGUGGGAUAACGUCCGGAAACGGGCGCUAAUACCGCAUACGUCCUGAGGGAGAAAGUGGGGGAUCUUCGGACCCCUCGCUAUCAGAUGAUCCUAGGUCGGAUUAGCUAGUUGGUGGGGUAAAGGCCUACCAAGGCGACGAUCAGUAACUGGUCUGAGAGGAUGAUCAGUCACACUGGAACUGAGACACGGUCCAGACUCCUACGGGAGGCAGCAGUGGGGAAUAUUGGACAAUGGGCGAAAGCCUGAUCCAGCAAUGCCGCGUGUGUGAAGAAGGUCUUCGGAUUGUAAAGCACUUUAAGUUGGGAGGAAGGGCAGUAAGUUAAUACCUUGCUGUUUUGACGUUACCAACAGAAUAAGCACCGGCUAACUUCGUG
rnacentral:rRNA from 1 species